UGUGGGUUGUAAACCUCUUUUCUCUGGGAAGAAGCUCUGACGGUACCAGAGGAAUCAGCAUCGGCUAACUCCGUGCCAGCAGCCGCGGUAAGACGGAGGAUGCAAGCGUUAUCCGGAAUUAUUGGGCGUAAAGCGUCCGUAGGCGGCUGUUCAAGUCUGCUGUUAAAGGCCGAGGCUCAACCUUGGAUAGGCAGUGGAAACUGAGCAGCUAGAGUUCGGUAGGGGUAGAGGGAAUUCCCAGUGUAGCGGUGAAAUGCGUAGAUAUUGGGAAGAACACCAGUGGCGAAGGCGCUCUACUGGGCCGAGACUGACGCUGAUGGACGAAAGCUAGGGGAGCGAAUGGGAUUAGAUACCCCAGUAGUCCUAGCUGUAAACGAUGGACACUAGGUGUUGGCCGUAUCGACCCGGUCAGUAUCGAAGCAAACGCGUUAAGUGUCCCGCCUGGGGAGUACGCACGCAAGUGUGAAACUCAAAGGAAUUGACGGGGGCCCGCACAAGCGGUGGAGUAUGUGGUUUAAUUCGAUGCAACGCGAAGAACCUUACCAGGGUUUGACAUCCUACGAACCUUUCUGAAAAGAGAGGGUGCCUUCGGGAGCGUAGAGACAGGUGGUGCAUGGCUGUCGUCAG
rnacentral:rRNA from 1 species